UUCGAGCGUCAUUAAUCACCCNNCAAGCUCCGGCUUGGUGUGAGGCCUGCCGUAAAGGCNCCCUUUAAAAUCAGUGGCAGUNCGUCCGGCUCUAAGCGUAGUAAAUCCAUCGCUAUAGACUCGGGCGGACGCUCGCCAGAACACCCCCAUUUUUAAUGAUUGACCUCGGAUUAGGUAGGGAUACCCGCUGAACUUAAGCAUAUCAAUAAGCGGAGGAAAAGAAACCAACAGGGAUUGCCUCAGUAACGGCGAGUGAAGCGGCAAAAGCUCAAAUUUGAAAUCUGGCUCUCUCAGGGUCCGAGUUGUAAUUUGUAGAAGAUGUUUCGGGUGUGGCUCCGGUUUAAGUUCUUUGGAAUAUUACAUCAUAGAGGGUGAGAAUCCCGUAUGUGACCGGCAGCCUUCGCCCAUGUGAGACUCUUUCGACGAGUCGAGUUGUUUGGGAAUGCAGCUCAAAAUGGGAGGUAUAUUUCUUCUAAAGCUAAAUAUAGGCCAGAGACCGAUAGCGCACAAGUAGAGUGAUCGAAAGAUGAAAAGCACUUUGGAAAGAGAGUUAAACAGUACGUGAAAUUGUUGAAAGGGAAGCGCUUGCAACCAGACUUGCACGCAGUUGAUCAUCCGGGGUUCUCCCCGGGGCACUCGGCUGCGUUCAGGCCAGCAUCGGUUUUGGUGGUUGGAUAAAGGCCUUGGGAAUGUGGCUUCCUUCGGGGAGUGUUAUAGCCCUCGGUGCAAUGCAGCCUACCGGGACCGAGGACCGCGCUUCGGCUAGGAUGCUGGCGUAAUGGUUGUAAGCGACC
rnacentral:rRNA from 1 species